AUUGAACGCUGGCGGCAGGCCUAACACAUGCAAGUCGAGCGGAUGAAGGGAGCUUGCUCCUGGAUUCAGCGGCGGACGGGUGAGUAAUGCCUAGGAAUCUGCCUGGUAGUGGGGGAUAACGUCCGGAAACGGGCGCUAAUACCGCAUACGUCCUGAGGGAGAAAGUGGGGGAUCUUCGGACCUCACGCUAUCAGAUGAGCCUAGGUCGGAUUAGCUAGUUGGUGGGGUAAAGGCCUACCAAGGCGACGAUCCGUAACUGGUCUGAGAGGAUGAUCAGUCACACCGGAACUGAGACACGGUCCAGACUCCUGCGGAAGGCAGCAGUGGGGAAUAUUGGACAGUGGGCGAAAGCCUGAUCCAGCCAUGCCGCGUGUGUGAAGAAGGUCUUCGGAUUGUAAAGCACUUUAAGUUGGGAGGAAGGGCAGUAAGUUAAUACCUUGCUGUUUUGACGUUACCAACAGAAUAAGCACCGGCUAACUUCGUG
rnacentral:rRNA from 1 species